GAUGAACGCUGGCGGCGUUCUUAAUCCCUGCACGUCGAGCGAAGCGGGGACGGGUGAGCAACACGCGGAAAACCUCCUAUAAGACUGGGAUAACUUCGGGAAACCGGAGCUAAACCGGAUAUUUAUAGAUGGAGUCGCGCUGCAUUAGCUAGCUGUUAAGGUAACUGCUUACCAAGGCAACGAUGCAUAGCCGACCUGAGCGGGUGAUAGGCCGAACUGGAACGGUGACACGGUCCAAACGCCAACGGAAGGCAGUGGUAGAGAAGCGUCCGAAAUGGGCGAAAGCCUGACGGAGCAACGCCGCGUGAGUGAUGAAGGUCUUCGGAUCGUAAGACUCUGUUAUUAGGGAAGCGGUACCUAAUCAGAAAGCCACGGCUAACUACGUGCCAGCAGCCGCGGUAAUAC
rnacentral:rRNA from 1 species